UGGGAACUUGACAUUGUAGUAAGUUUGCCAUAUCAAACUUCAAGUUCUUAUGCCUUGGAAUAUGGCAAGAGGAGACUUUCUCAGGGAGGUGUUGCUAUGCUUCAAAUACUUUUUUUUAACAAGGGUAGGUCUCUAAUCUUCAUCUUAGAAAACUUCUGUUGUGGAUGGUAAUUACAAAAAGGAAGGGAAGGAAUGCAGUGGAAUGGAAAACUGAAAGCUAAUCUGUUUAAAUAUGAGCAAGUUACAGGUGCUCAGGCAAUGCUGAGCACAGCAUUGUUACAGUGAGGGUGAAAAUCUGGACUCAGCUCUCAAGAGGUGACAAGUGCAAUCUCUAAAGUACACAGAUAUACCACAGAAUGAUAUGGCAUUUGAUAUGAGGUAUUUUUUCCAUUGGUAUUGUAGGGUGAAGAAGGCUUUCCUGGCUUUCCUGGACUGAAAGGGGAUAAAGGAGAAAAAGGAUCCCUGGGCUCACCUGGCCCCCCUGGGAGGGAUGGAGCAAAAGGAGAAGCCGGUGAACCAGGACAGCCAGGAGUAUUUGGACUGCCUGGGCCAGCAGGUCCAAAGAGCUUUUACAAACCAAGCUAAACUGAGGCACCUACAUCUUCCUCAAGAUGGACUUGAUCCUGCUCCCUAUUGCCCACCAGGUUCUUCAGGAAUGUGCAAUUCAGCCAAUUACUCAGGCAGUGCUGAAUAGAAGGAGUUGAGAUCUUCAGGGCAGGUGGGGCUGGACCUAAAGACAUCUGACUGGACAGUGCCAGGUGCUCUCAGGGAAGACAUGAGCUUGGCCAACCCCAGCCUCUCAUAGUGCCUAAAUAAAAAAUUAUUGUGUGUUUUCA
rnacentral:lncRNA from 1 species